UUCUCUCUUGUGUUUGGGAGGAGCUUUAUCUUCCCAUGCUGCUGGCGGCUUGCACAGGAAUUUUCUGUAGAGAAAUAAUCUGCAUUAAUUGGGGUCUUAUUUGUGUGGGAUUUGAUUUCUCUUGUGAAGCGCACGACCUCCAGGAUAGAUGCGAGUUAAUGGAGGGAUUUGAUUUCUCUCGUGAAGCACACGACCUCCAGGAUCGAUGCGAGUUAAUGGAGGGAAGACGGGCAGCCAUUGCGUUGAGACAAAAGCUGCGGGCUCUUGAGGGCUUUCGUCCUCCGGCGCCCCCCGCAGCUUCCGUCUCCAGCUGACAUAAGGUCCGGUGCCAGCUAGCUGUUCGACGGAAUGGCCGAGAGGACCGAAAUCGAGGAAUCAAAGGAAACAUCUGAGGAUCACAUCAGCGCGCUCCCCGAUGAUCUCCUGCUGGAUGUGCUGUCCUUGUUGACGGCGGAUGAGGCCGUCCAGACCUGCGUGCUCGCGCGCCGGUGGCGUGACCUCUGGAUGCGCCUGCCCAGCUUGCGCCUGUUGUAAAAAAGCCGUUUGCAGAGGCACCAACGUUCAGGAGCACCGAGCAUUUCAACAGCUUCGUGAACCGUCUCAUCGAGCUCCGUGAGCCAUUGUGUCUGGUCGACUGCGAGAUCGAUCUUUGUCAUGACGAUACCGAUGAGCUAAGCAGUGAGACAUUCCCAUAUCCAUAUGUCAUCCAAUGGAUCCAGUACGCUUUAGCAAGUCAUGCUCGGUUGCUUCGAGUCAUUGUCGACGAAGACUAUUUUGACCAACAACUACGGCUCAAUGUGCCUCUCGUCUCCCAGCACUUGAUGACCUUACAUCUUAACAGUGUUGACUUGCUCUGCUCCAUGGAUUUCUCGAGCUGUCCGGUGUUAGAGGAUCUAAAGGUUUCCAACUGCGAGAUUCACGCGCACAUGGUAUCAUCCAGAUCACUCAAGCGUAUGUGUAUCGGCGGCUGCUGCUUCCCUACUGAUUACCGCACUUUGUUAUCUACACCAAGCCUUAAUACACUGCAGUUAUCUACACCAAAUGAUUGUGACGGCAUGACUCCUUUGACUGAAAGCAUGCCAUUGCUAGAAACAGCAUUUGUCAGGCUUGCAUUUUCUUCUGAUUGCUGUUCCUACUCCAAAAACCUUGCAGUAGGGAAUUGUGGUGAUGAAAGCUGUGUUGGUUGUUUUGGUUACCCCGUCGGUGGUAAUCAGAGUGCUUCUCAAUGGUUUGUCCAAUGCUAUCAAUUUGGUCUUGAUAGCUAGACCUGAAGAGUAUAUCUUCAGAAGGGAUUUGGCAUCAUGCCCCGUGUUUAGCAAAUUAAAGACUCUUGUACUCAAUUGGUGGGUUGCGAUUAUUGAUCUUGAUGCACUAGCUUCAGUUCUCCAACACUCGCCAAUUCUUGAAAUACUCACCCUUGAGCUCAAAGACAAUCAGAAGUACUUUGUGUCCACUAGGACCUCGUAAGCGCGAUAGGACCUGAAGAAAACUAUGAUCCAAGAGAACAACCUUUUGCAUGCACACGCCUUAAGGUAGUCAACAUUGAAUGUGAACAGGACAAUGAGAAGGUUCGCAAAAUUUUGAAGUUCUUGACUACAUGUGGCAUACCUGCUGAGCAAAUUAGCGUCAAGAAGAUCUUUGGGUUGUGGUUAAAUUGGUUUCAUGCUGCCAUGCCCCCCCUGCCCCCCUACUGAUCAAGCCUGAAACACACUUGAUGCUUGGCUGUGAACAUGCAAUCAGAAUUUUUGGCUUAACUCCGGCUUCGCUUUUGAGAGGUUCCCGAAGGAGCUGGUUUCAUCUACUCCAGCGAGAUGUCACACCUUCAACCACUGAUGGCGACUAAGAUGUGUGCCUGGUCAUGAUAUUGUUCUAAACCUCCUCUGGAGUCAGUGGCAUUUAUCUCUGUUUGGUUUUCAAACUUUCCUUUAUUAGUUUUUCGAUAAACUCUGCAAACUAGUAGUAUCCCUGCCGGAUACUAUGGCCGGUCAGAACGUUGUCAUGGGUUCAAUGAUUUAUGUUGCCACUUCUGGAGAUUAUCCAAAAAAAAAAUCUAUUCUACGAAAUUUAUAAUGA